AUUCUCGCUGGAAGACAAGAGGAUGUCAAAGCAGCAGACAGGGCUGAGUCACCGAAGAGUGACACUGGAAGGGACCUGGACAGAACCGGACACGCUUCAGCGGAAGGUCACUCUUUAAGAAGCUGCACUAGCAAACCAUGUGGAGGGGAAGUUAGACGCCACGCUCGUGCGGGACGGACACGCGUGGGACUAAGCAGGGAGGAGGGCUCCCUGCUUCCGUCCACUUCUUCCCUGUUCUCCAGCCUCCCACCGCCCCCCCCCCCCGGAAUUAGAGCCACCCCUUGCCUCCUGCUAAGCGACUGCCUUCUGUGUGGAAAGGCUUCUGGAGCGCAGGCUUUGAGGAGCCGCAGCUCCUUUUACCCCAGCCUCAGCCCCCGCGCCUGCGCAGUCCUCUCCCGCCCCACCGCCCCUCCCCCAACCUUUCCCGGGACCGGGGUCUGUGUUCGCAUCUCUCACUAGCUGGGCUGCCAGGGACCUCUCCCAGCCUUGUUUUCCUCCUUAGGCAAAGUAAGUCUGGCAAGAGUUGCCUCCCAGGGGCUGAGGUGAGGCCUCAGCGAGGGAACAAGGGCAGGCGCAGGUCUGGAAAGCCAGUUGCUGAGCAGAUGGUAAGUGAUUAUUCCAAGAGCCAGGGUUAGUUUCAUUUCAGCCUUGGACAUCCCAGAGGUCGCAGUGCCUUCCUUAAGGAGCAUUCUUCUCAGACGUCUAGUCUAGAGAACUGACCCAAGACGGAUCCAGACCUCAGGUUCGGGCCACGACUCCAUGAGGGGUACCAUCCACCUGUGCCCAGAGUUCCUGACCCCUGACGCUGGGCAGGUGAUUUCACCUGUUGGUGCUUGAGGCCUUCCUCUGUGAACUGACGGUCUUAUAGGCAACUCUUUUCACGAAGGCUGAGCUGAUAUUUAGCAGCCCCGGAAAACAAUGCCUGCCACACAGGAAACACCUGGCUCUCGUUAGUGUUCCUAACAAGAGGCUGCUGCCUUCACUUGCUUUUCAGAAGAGUUAAUUGCAUUGUGCACCGGCUUUCGAAGCCGCGCAAUGGAGGCUGAGGAUUUCUGGAUGUUUCUAGGAAGACGGGAAGGAGGCUCUGGAGGAUAAAGUAAGUGGGGGGGGGGGGGAAUUGUGUCCAGGUGUCAGCAAUCCCCGCCAACGCCCAAGGAAGGGCCCGGCACUGACUCUAACGGAGGAGCGAGCAGCUUUCUGCCCGACUUGUAUCCCUCAUCUCCGGCCAGAGUAUUUUCUUUAGACCUGGCAGCGGCGCCGCGUUAGAAACGUGGGUAAGUCCAGGCAGUGCGACGCGACGGGACCAGAAGCCCAGGAACUCAUCGCUAGGGACUCAAGUACCGAGACCAGAAAGCCGAAGCCUGGCCGGGCAGACACCCGGGAGCCCGGGCGGCCACCACGGGAGGAGGAGCGAGUGGAGGAGCCCUGGGGCCGGGGGGCAGGCCUGGACUCCCCCCCC
rnacentral:lncRNA from 1 species